AUCAAUAUGAUCCUCUCUUUCAUAUAUUAUAUUAGAUUAUGUUAUAUAUUAUAUUAGAUUAUGUUAGAUGAAUUUAUUAAAAAAUAGAAUAACUACUGUAUUAAAAAAAAUCUUAAUUUUUAAUUUUACAAAAAAUUAUAAUUUUUGUAAAAUAAAAUUAAUUUAUUUAUUUUUUGCAACAUACAAAAGGGUUGGGUUUACCUGAUGAUUUUGUCCUUAGAUUAAGCAUAAAAUGAGUGAUACAUAUGCACGUUUAGAUUAACAACCAUCUUAUACUCGAACCAAGAGAUAAAUAAUUCAAGAACUCUAAAUAUGAAAAACCUAUUUUUUCUUGAAAAAUAUUUUUAUGUAAAAUUUAUAAUAUUUUUAAUAUAUGAUCUUUUAUUUAUAUUUUAUUUUGAUUUAAAUAUCUUUCUUUCGUAUUUUGACAGAUUUAAAAAGGUAUUACCUAGUCCAAAUUUUUUAUUAUUUUUAUUUAAUGAAAUGUUUAUCAUGCCUUAUUUUUUAUGUAAAAAAUAGCUCCCUAUCCUGUAUUAUCACCUUUCAAUUUAAAAAAAUAAUAAUAAUUCUGACAAUAUUGAUGGCGAGG
rnacentral:lncRNA from 1 species